rnacentral:rRNA from 1 species
GACGAACCGUGCAAACGUUACUCGGAUUCACUGGGCUUAAAGGGCGCGUAGGCUGUUCGUUAAGUCGCGGGUGAAAUCUUUCGGCUCAACCGGAAAAUUGCCCCCGAUACUGGCGAGCUCGAGGGAGGUAGGGGCAGCGGGAACUGCCAGUGGAGCGGUGAAAUGCGUUGAUAUUGGCAGGAACGCCGGUGGCGAAAGCGCGCUGCUGGAUCUCUCCUGACGCUGAGUGCGCGAAAGCUAGGGGAGCAAACGGG